ensembl:lncRNA
AGUGCUGGGAUUACAGGUGUGAGCCACUGUACCUGAUUGUAAGAGUUCUUUAUAUAGUCUAAAUACAAGCCCUUUAUCAAAUAUAUGAAUUGCAAAUGUUUUCUCUAAGUCUGUGGCUUGUCUUUGAUUUUUUAAAUGUCUUUUGAAGCACAAAAUCUUUAGUUUUAAUGAAGUCCAAUUGAUAUAUAUACACACACAUAUAUACACACACAUAUAUACAUAUAUACAUAUAUAUGCAUAUAUAUACAUAGACACAUGUAUACAUAUAUAUGCAUAUAUACACACACGUAUUUGUGGUUAGUGUUUUUGGCAUCUUAUCUAAGAAUUCUUUAAUCCAAAAUAAUAAAAUUUUUCUCCCAUGUUUUCUUCUAGAAGUUUUGUACUUUAACUCUUAGAGUUAGCGCUAUGAUCUGUUUUGGGUGUGGGGUGAGUCCAGGGUCUCAAUCUGACUUUUUGCAUGGAUAAUUUUAAUACCAUUUAAUAGUUCUAGAACUGUUGAAGACUGUCCUUUUUCCAAUGAAUGCUUUAGCAUCUUUUUUUGAAAAUAGUUGACUAUAAACAUAAGGUUGUUUGUAUACUGAGUGUUUGUCCUUGUAUCACUGCCAGUGGUCUUAAUUACUGUGGCUUUACUUAUAACAAACUUUCAAAUAUGAAACUGUUAAGCUCUUCAAUUUUGUUCUUUUUCAAAAAUUUUUUGGGUAUUCUGAGUCCUUUCCAUAUCCACAUAAAUUUUAAGGUCAGUUUAUCCACUUCUGCAAAAAUGCCUUUUGGGAUUUUUAUAGGGAUUGUGUUAAAUCUGUAGAUGAAUUUGGAGAGAAUUGCCAUGCUUAUAUUGAGUCUGCGAAUCUGUGAACAUGGAAUGUUUGUUUGUUUAUAUCUUGAUUAGUUUCUCUCAGCGUGUAUAAAACAUUACUUUCAAAACAUUGUUUUCAGUUUACAAAUCUUCUGUUAAAUUUAUUCCUACAUUUUUAGUUCUUUUAGGUGCAAUUGUGAAUGGAGUUUUUUCCUUAAUGUCAUUUUUGAAUUGUUCAUUGAUAGUAUAUGUAUAAUUUAUUUUUGUAUAUUGGCUUUGUAUCCUGCAACCUUCCUGAGCUCAUUUAUUCGUUCUUGUCUGGGGGGUAUGUGUGUGAGAGAGAGAGAGUGUGAGUGUAUGUGUGUGAGUGUACAUUCUUUAAUAUUUGCUGCCUACAGGAUUGUGUCAUUUGUGAAUACAGAAAGUCUUACUUCUUUCCAAUCUUGAUUACUUGUCUUUUUCUUGCCUGAUUAUGUUGGCUAGAAUCUCUAGUAAACCUUGAAUGGAGGUGGGUGAGAAUACAUAUCCUUCCUUGUUCCCAAUCUUAGGGAGAAGAUAUUCAGCCUUUCAUCAUUAGGUAUGAUGUUGGCUAUAGGUUUUCUGUAGCUGCCUUUUAUUAGAUUGAGAAAAAUUCCUUUUAUUCCUAGGUUUGUUGGAGUUUUUUUUCAUGAAUGGAAUUGAAUUUUUCAGAUGCUUUUUAUGCCUCUAUUGUUCCUUAUUUAGUGUAUUACAUUAAUUGAUUUUCUGAUUAAUUUUCUGAUUAAACCAAUCCUGCAUUCCUGGGAUGAAGCCCAUUUUUAAUGUGUGUGAUCCUUUUUAUAUGUUACUGAAUUUGGUUUGCUGAUGUUUUGUUGAGAAUAUUUGUGUGUAUAUUCAUGAGGGAUAUUGAUCUGUCAUAUUCUAUUUUUGUGAUGUCUUUGGUUUUUGUAUAAGGAUAAUAUUGACCUCACAGAUGGGAAGUGUACUCUCUGGAUGGAUUUGUGAAGGAUUGGUACUAUUUCUUCUUUAAAUGCUUGAUAGAAUUCAUCAGUGAAACCAUCAGACCUGCACUUUUCUUUGUGUGAAGAUUUGUAAUUGCUAUUAAAGUUCUUAUUUUAAGUC